CACAUGCAAGUCGAACGGAGCUGAGAGGAGCUUGCCUUUCUUAGCUUAGUGGCGAACGGGUGAGUAACGCGUGAGUAACCUGCCCUGGAGUGGGGGACAACAGUUGGAAACGACUGCUAAUACCGCAUAAGCCCACGGCCCGGCAUCGGGCUGCGGGAAAAGGAUUUAUUCGCUUCAGGAUGGACUCGCGUCCAAUUAGCUAGUUGGUGAGGUAACGGCCCACCAAGGCGACGAUUGGUAGCCGGACUGAGAGGUUGAACGGCCACAUUGGGACUGAGACACGGCCCAGACUCCUACGGGAGGCAGCAGUGGGGGAUAUUGCACAAUGGGGGAAACCCUGAUGCAGCGACGCCGCGUGGAGGAAGAAGGUUUUCGGAUUGUAAACUCCUGUCGUUAGGGACGAUAAUGACGGUACCUAACAAGAAAGCACCGGCUAACUACGUGCCAGCAGCCGCGGUAAAACGUAGGGUGCAAGCGUUGUCCGGAAUUACUGGGUGUAAAGGGAGCGCAGGCGGACCGGCAAGUUGGAAGUGAAAACUAUGGGCUCAACCCAUAAAUUGCUUUCAAAACUGCUGGCCUUGAGUAGUGCAGAGGUAGGUGGAAUUCCCGGUGUAGCGGUGGAAUGCGUAGAUAUCGGGAGGAACACCAGUGGCGAAGGCGACCUACUGGGCACCAACUGACGCUGAGGCUCGAAAGCAUGGGUAGCAAACAGGAUUAGAUACCCUGG
rnacentral:rRNA from 1 species